CCGUGUACGUACAAGCAGUGGGAGCACAGGUUUACCUGUGUGACUGCGUACCUUUUGUAUAAUGGGUCAGCGACUUAUAUUCUGUAGCAAGGUUAACCGCAUAGGGGAGCCGGAGGGAAACCGAGUCUUAAUUGGGCGUUAAGUUGCAGGGUAUAGACCCGAAACCCGGUGAUCUAGCCAUGGGCAGGUUGAAGGUUGGGUAACACUAACUGGAGGACCGAACCGACUAAUGUUGAAAAAUUAGCGGAUGACCUGUGGCUGGGGGUGAAAGGCCAAUCAAACCGGGAGAUAGCUGGUUCUCCCCGAAAGCUAUUUAGGUAGCGCCUCGUGAAUUCAUCUCCGGGGGUAGAGCACUGUUUCGGCUAGGGGGCCAUCCCGGCUUACCAACCCGAUGCAAACUGCGAAUACCGGAGAAUGUUAUCACGGGAGACACACGGCGGGUGCUAACGUCCGUCGUGAAGAGGGAAACAACCCAGACCGCCAGCUAAGGUCCCAAAGUCAUGGUUAAGUGGGAAACGAUGUGGGAAGGCCCAGACAGCCAGGAUGUUGGCUUAGAAGCAGCCAUCAUUUAAAGAAAGCGUAAUAGCUCACUGGUCGAGUCGGCCUGCGCGGAAGAUGUAACGGGGCUAAACCAUGCACCGAAGCUGCGGCAGCGACACUCAGGUGUUGUUGGGUAGGGGAGCGUUCUGUAAGCCUGCGAAGGUGGCCUGUGAGGGUUGCUGGAGGUAUCAGAAGUGCGAAUGCUGACAUAAGUAACGAUAAAGCGGGUGAAAAGCCCGCUCGCCGGAAGACCAAGGGUUCCUGUCCAACGUUAAUCGGGGCAGGGUGAGUCGACCCCUAAGGCGAGGCCGAAAGGCGUAGUCGAUGGGAAACGGGUUAAUAUUCCCGUACUUGGUGUUACUGCGAAGGGGGGACGGAGAAGGCUAUGUUGGCCGGGCGACGGUUGUCCCGGUUUAAGCGUGUAGGUGUGUGUUCCAGGUAAAUCCGGUUCACUUUAACACUGAGGCGUGACGACGAGGCACUACGGUGCUGAAGCAACAAAUGCCCUGCUUCCAGGAAAAGCCUCUAAGCAUCAGGUAACAUCAAAUCGUACCCCAAACCGACACAGGUGGUCAGGUAGAGAAUACCAAGGCGCUUGAGAGAACUCGGGUGAAGGAACUAGGCAAAAUGGUGCCGUAACUUCGGGAGAAGGCACGCUGACACGUAGGUGAAGUGAUUUACUCAUGGAGCUGAAGUCAGUCGAAGAUACCAGCUGGCUGCAACUGUUUAUUAAAAACACAGCACUGUGCAAACACGAAAGUGGACGUAUACGGUGUGACGCCUGCCCGGUGCCGGAAGGUUAAUUGAUGGGGUCAGCGCAAGCGAAGCUCCUGAUCGAAGCCCCGGUAAACGGCGGCCGUAACUAUAACGGUCCUAAGGUAGCGAAAUUCCUUGUCGGGUAAGUUCCGACCUGCACGAAUGGCGUAAUGAUGGCCAGGCUGUCUCCACCCGAGACUCAGUGAAAUUGAACUCGCUGUGAAGAUGCAGUGUACCCGCGGCAAGACGGAAAGACCCCGUGAACCUUUACUAUAGCUUGACACUGAACAUUGAGCCUUGAUGUGUAGGAUAGGUGGGAGGCUUUGAAGUGUGGACGCCAGUCUGCAUGGAGCCGACCUUGAAAUACCACCCUUUAAUGUUU
rnacentral:rRNA from 1 species